UACGGAGGGGGCUAGCGUUGUUCGGAAUUACUGGGCGUAAAGCGCACGUAGGCGGAUUUGUAAGUCAGGGGUGAAAUCCCGGGGCUCAACCUCGGAAUGGCAUUCAAUACUGCUUCGCUAGAGUACUGGAGAGGAGGCUGGAAUUUACGGUGUAGCAGUGAAAUGCGUAGAUAUCGUAAGGAAGGCCGGUGGCGAAAGCGAGCCUCUGGACAGUUACUGACGCUGAUGCACGAAGGCCAGGGGAGCAAACGGG
rnacentral:rRNA from 1 species